ensembl:lncRNA
AUGUUCAGAAGAAGAGCCUGAAGGUCCAGCAGUGGUUCAGAUGUUCAGAAGAAGAGCCUGAAGGUCCAGCAGUGGUUCAGAUGUUCAGAAGAAGAGCCUGAAGGUCCAGCAGUGGUUCAGAUGUUCAGAAGAAGAGCCUGAAGGUCCAGCAGUGGUUCAGAUGUUCAGAAGAAGAGCCUGAAGGUCCAGCAGUGGUUCAGUUGUUCAGAAGAAGAGCCUGAAGGUCCAGCAGUGGUUCAGUUGUUCAGAAGAAGAGCCUGAAGGUCCAGCAGUGGUUCAGAUGUUCAGAAGAAGAGCCUGAAGGUCCAGCAGUGGUUCAGAUGUUCAGAAGAAGAGCCUGAAGGUCCAGCAGUGGUUCAGAUGUUCAGAAGAGCCUGAAGGUCCAGCAGUGGUUCAGAUGUUCAGAAGAGCCUGAAGGUCCAGCAGUGGUUCAGAUGUUCGCUCAGCUGGCUCUAAGUGGGUAAAAAUAUUCAAACAAAUCCUUCACUGAAUAUUUUCUUCACCAGUGGAACAGCAUGAAUGAAAACAUGUCAGAGCUGAUUGACUUCCUGUUGGGUCACAGAUCCAGUUAAUGUCUUGUUAGGACGAGUUUAUGUUUAAAUUUAAUUCUCUUAAACCCUUUAUAUGAAUAAACUAUAAAGUGUGAUGAAGAAGAAACCAAACUGUGUAAAACAGGCUCAGUGUUGGACUGAGAAGGUCGCUGAUGUAGAACGUUUCUCCUGAUAAAUGAACACCAGAGACUGAUGAGAGCAGCCAGAGCUGGUUUAUGAGCUUCCAGUAGUCGAAUCAUCUGAUGAAAUCACUGUUCAGGUGGUUUGUUUCUGCCAUAUUUAUGUUCAGUCUGACUGCAGCUACAAAAACAGAAGCUGUAGAAACUCUGCAGUCAUGAAAAAAGAAACUUUAAAAUUGUUGAUUUUAUCAUUUUAAAGGUUACCAUUUAUUAAAAACUGUUAAAAGUCAUGAAGUGAAACUUCAACAUUUGGUCUAUUUUCUGUAUUUUGUUUCUCUGCUCCUUUAAUUCUUAUGGA